rnacentral:misc_RNA from 1 species
CUCGGGACUGGCUAUAUUUUAUAAAAUGAAUAAUACUAUAAAAUAUAUAAUUUCUAUUUUUUAAAAAAUAAUAUUGUAAAAUUUAUAAAUAUAAUUAUAAAAAAAUAUGCUACCUGAACUUGUCUUAUCGAGGUCUGAUUGAAUUGGGAAAUUGAAAAUACAUUGAAAAUACCCUAUUUUCAUUCCUAGACCUGCAUCAAUAUUUAUCUUUGCAUAUUUUUCUUUUCCUGGCAGUUAACAAUCAAGGAUAGGCAAAUUGUGUUAUUUCUACAUAUUGUAGGGACCUGAAAAUUUUAGGCAUUUCCUGACAUGCAGGCACAAUCUGCCCUUAGUGAAUCUUGGGGGUUAGAGAUUUGUUCCGACCAGUUAAAUUCAUUUCAAUCCUCCAAAACUAAUCUUACCUUGAUCCAAUGUUUUUUAUGAGAUGGUAUAUUAUCAAUGUGUUUUGCUUUAAUUUAUUUGCAGCUAUUGUAUCUGGGGGAAAGGG